UACGUAGGGGGCAAGCGUUGUCCGGAUUUAUUGGGCGUAAAGGGUGCGUAGGCGGUUUGGUAAGUCUGAUGUGAAAUCUAUGGGCUCAACUCAUAGUCUGCAUCGGAAACUGCCGGGCUUGAGUGUGGGAGAGGUGAGUGGAAUUCCUGGUGUAGCGGUGAAAUGCGUAGAUAUCAGGAGGAACACCUGUGGCGAAAGCGGCUCACUGGACCAUAACUGACGCUGAUGCACGAAAGCUAGGGGAGCAAACAGG
rnacentral:rRNA from 1 species